UUUCUUCAUACUAUCCAGAGCUCCAAACUUUGUAGGAAGCCAGAAGCGUCUCCUUUGUUGAACAGUGCCAAAAUAGCAGCUCUAUCCUUUCCUCUCUCCUCUUUCUGAUUCCAGUCAAUAUGUGUUAUGGAGUCUGUGGUCUCCACAAGGCCUUGGGAUAGGCAUCCAAAGGAAGAUCACUUUGAUUGCCAUGUGGAGAGUGAACUGUGGGAGGACCCCAGUGGAGGCAGGAAGACUAAACCAGAAGACAGUCACAGUAGUCCAGAUAAGAGAUGCAUAUGUUAUCAAUCGCCAUGUGAAGAAGAUGCUUGCUUCCCCUUUGCCUUCUGCCAUGAUUGUGAGUUUCGCGAGGCCUCCACAGCCAUGCUUCCUGUACUGCAGAACUGUGAGUCAAUUAAACCUCUUUUCUUCAUAAAUUACCCAGUCUCUGGUAGUUCUUUAUAGCAGUGCAAGAUGGACUAAUACACCACCUAAGUGAUGUAUUUGUUGCUCCAGCUCUAUAUAUACCUAAUUUGUACAUCACCUGGGACCUUGCUUUUCUUUGAGUUAAAUGAUUUUAUAUGUUAACUACUCUACUUUAAUGAUCACAAUUUAUCAUAUACUUUUUCAGCAUCUCAAUAAAAGAAAUUUUUUCGAAA
rnacentral:lncRNA from 10 species